rfam:Hordeum vulgare subsp. vulgare, WGS project CAJW01000000 data, contig: morex_contig_54783
AUUAUACUCCCUCCGUCCGAAAUUACUCGUCAUAGGAAUGGAUGUAUUUAGACUUAUUUUAGUUCUAGAUACAUCCAUUUCUAUGCAAUUUUCUGACAAGUAAUUUUGGACGGAUGGAGUAUGAA